rnacentral:rRNA from 1 species
AAGCUCGUAGUUGAAUUUCGGGAUUAGUACGUCGGUCGUGCCUUAGGUACGUACUGGUGUUACUGGUUCCUACCUUCUGACGAACCAUCAUGUCAUUAAUUUGGUGUGGUGGGGAAUCAGGACUGUUACUUUGAAAAAAUUAGAGUGUUUAAAGCAGGCUCGCGCUUGAAUACAUUAGCAUGGAAUAAUGAAAUAGGACGUUGAUCCUAUUUUGUUGGUUUCUAGGAUUGACGUAAUGAUUAAUAGGGAUAGUUG